GAAAAAUGAGUUCUAAAUGGCUUCUUUUAGGCAAAGCAUUUUUAUGGCUACAAAUAAUAACAAAUUGCAAAUAUUUAAGAUCAUAUAAGACACUUUAUUUGUAUUUAAAGCAUUUCUGUUUUCUUGUAGUUUCAUAAGGCCUGUGGCUAUCCACUACAUAAUUACACUGUAACUCUCAUUUGUAUUAGUUAUACCUAUAUCCUACUAAAGGUUUAUUAACUUAUAUCAGCAAAACAACUACAGAAUAUUGUGCGCUUAAUUUACAAGUGAGAUGGUUCUCCAAGAUCACAAAAACUAUUAGCUAUAAUGGCUACAGUAACUACACGAGCAAGACAAACUUGAGGCUUCAUCUGGCAUCAACUUGUCUGGGAAAAAUGUUGUCUGCUGCUUACCUCCCAGAAUUUUUUUUUUUUCUCUCUUGACUUCCUCCUCCCUUCAGCAUCAACAAAUCCCGUCUCUACAAAUCCAGAAGGUGAAAUGCUUGCGCUGCUGUAGGCUGCUCCUUUGGAUGGCAAUUCUCUGGGACAGUCAGCCUAAUUGGGAGUCUGCAUGAAUACUUAAUGGCAGAGGAUAGAUAGCAGAGAAGGGCAAGUCAAGAUCUGUCAUGCUGGGAUCACUGGCUGUCAGACAGGAAAGGCAGAGGCUCAACCACCACCCCUCCCCAUGCACGCCGGCUGUGUCUGCCACGAUGGGGGAACAUGUUGGUGCCCUAAGGCUAAAUUCUAUCCGGCUGAUGGAAACAUGGAUGGGAACAAACAAAAUGCACACAGAAAAAAAAAAGAAAGGGCAGAUUCUGGCUGAGCACUACAGUUGACCAGAGAUGUGGCAUCUAAUCAAAGCGUUUCUAGAGCGAGAAAGAAAGGUGAAUGCCUUAAACAGUCAACCCUAGAGUCACGUUCCUUCUUGCUUACUCCCAUCUGUCUCAGUUUCCUUCCUGUAAGUCCCACUCAGUACUUAAGAAAAAUAAAAUCAUAAGCACCAACAUGAAGGACAGAGCCUCAUAGCUUGGAAAGAUGAAAGGUCAAUACUGCCAGCUUUAUCAGAGUCCAGAAUUGUAAACAUUUCCUCCAGAGGGUUAAAGGGACUUUGCUUGUUUUGUCUUGCACAGGUUUUCGUACAUAUGACGAUACUUUUACCUCUUAGUGGGUGUUCAAAACCAGGACGGCAGGGAAGUGCUAUUUUUUGUCCCAGCAUUUGCAUUGCACUUCCAGCAUUUGCACUGGGCAUGUUUAAACAUGUCCAGGUUUUGUUUCUUUUUUUUUUAAAAAACGGUUUCCCAGUUCAUCUGGAGCAACAGCCUUCAGAUGUUUCGUCAGU